rnacentral:lncRNA from 1 species
AUUGUUGUAUAUUUGGCACAACAUGCUCGUGUUCUAUAAAGCUCACACCAAAUCUUAAUCAUAAAGAGUGGGAAUGAGAGAGAGAAAAAAGAAGAAGAAGAAGAAGAAAAUGGGGCUGAAAAACUUCACUGCCAUUUUUCAAAAUCAGACGACCCGUUUCCUUUCAAAGGGUAGCCAAAAAGUUCCCAUACACACCCAUUAGCGAGCUUCUUCUUUACCAAAAAAAAAACUAAAAAAAUUAGAUCAUCAUUUUCAAACCACCUUCUAGCUAGAACUGGAAACAAAAAAACAGUACAGACUCUCUCAUCAGCGCUGUCUCUUUACGCCACCCUCGAGUUACUACUAUCUUGCCCCACGUUGACUCAAGGAACCAUAGCCGCUGCUUCCACAGUACCGUUAACCUGAGGUGUUCAUUACCGGAAUCAUAACACAAGGCAGGCCAGGAGCCCACUCACAUCGUCCAUGUGCAUCUUCAGCGUGCUCGUUUUACAUUCUUGCCUCUGACCUCUCUGGACUUAGCUUUAUUCAAGCACUAGCCACUCAAAAAAAGAGUGAAGAUGAGGUACGGGAUAUCCAGUGGAGCUGUCUCCAUCAUAAUCACUCAAGGUAUAAAGCUUCUACCUAUUCUCAUGUAGUUGUAAUCUUUUACAUGUGCAUGCUACUGCAAAGGCAAGCUCCCGUUUUUCCUUUAUGUGCUAUGAAGUUAACAUAUAGUGUUGUAAGGUGUGUGGAUCGUCUUUUAAGUCCUAACCUGGUCACGGGUGUUCUUUCACUUGCUACGGGUACUGAAGGGGAUGGGGUGUGAUUUUUCCUUCAAGCGCAUAUGGUCUUGAAAACUUGAUUGCAUGUCCUAAGUUCAUGUUAAGACCUUGCCUAGUUAAUUAAGAAUGCUCUUACCCAAGGUUAAAGUUCAAGAACGGUAUGAGAAUGCUCUCUCAUUUUAUUUAGAUCGCUCAUUGAUUAUAAUAUUGUUGACUUAUUUUAUUAGAUUUUAAUGUAAUUUAAUUUCUUGACUAGAAUUAUCAGUAUAUAAUUAGUUAAAAAAUUAUUUAUGAUUUUAUGAUUUUACGAUCUGAGUUUAUUUUAUAUUUUUCGUGUCGUGUCAAAAAAUAUUUUUGACAACCUUGAACCCAGGAUCUUGACUUUAUUGAUCCACAAUCCCCAAACCAUAUUCGCAAACUAAAACUUUUUUUAUAUAGUUUAAAACAAGCACCUCGUGCAUGUAUUGAUUGCUUAGUGAAUUCUUAGUUUCUCAAUGGAUUUUAUAUUCGUAAAUUUUUAAGUGAACCCAGGUUAUAUUAUCAUGAUAACUAAAAUAAAAUGAGCUAAAUUUAUUUAUAAAAUGAGCACCACACGCUUAGAUUUAAAUUCCAUAGAAAGAUUAGCACCUGAUGACAAGUUAACUCGGGAAACAAAGGUAAUAACAAUGUUUUGAGAUUGAAUUCGACACUAGGUCUACUUAGUAGUUAGUACAUAUAAGUUGAAGGAUUGCUACCUUGACCAAUGAACUGAAAAUAUCUUUAAUUUAUAAUGAAUGGCAUACACCAUACAGUUUUACCAUAUCAACAGCAUGAAAAUUGAUAAUCGAUCCUUUAGGGAUAUUAUUCCAUUUCUUUAUUAAUUAUCAUAAAAACAUUUAUUAAAUGUGUUGUCCUCCAACUCUUUCCAUAAAAAGAAAGAGUUGUGAACCACAACAUACAUUUGAUCAUGGACAAAAGGUAAUCAAAUAGUUGCCUCCACUAGGACAAGUAAACGUGCUCGAUUUAUCAUCAAAAGCAUAACUAUAAGCUUGAGGACACUGCUGCUUGAAAGUCAUCGAAUAUUGGGUAGGAGGACAUGUUUCAGCUGUAUUAUGGUCUCCUGUGCAGCAGUACUGCGGCUGGUUAAAUGCCAAACACGCACUCUUGCAGGCAAUCACAGUCCCAUCUGAACCUUUCACUGCUAAACUAGGAUCACAAACAGCAUUCACGUUAGCUGCACAGCUUGUAGAAGGGCAGCCAGUAGAACCUCCUUGCGGGGUUACCGAAAUUGGGAGGUUAAAGCCAUCAACAAGGCUUAUAUCGUAAUAAUCUUUCCCACCAUCACCGCUUAGAGUAAAUU